rnacentral:rRNA from 1 species
AUGGAUGCGGCGGUGGAGGAGCUCCGCUCCGCGCUCAUCGCCACCGUUGCCGGCAACCGCGUGGGCGUCUCUGCCGAGGAGGUUUCUGAGGCUCUGCUGGCGCGAUUCAAUCUCCGCCGUGGCGAGUUCUCGGUGCACCCCCACCACCCUGGCGACUUCUCCGCUUCCACUCCCGGGAGGACCGUGCUCCCACCGCGGUACAGGCUUGUCUUCACUUCCUGGAGCGACCUCGCCGGUGGGGAGCCAGUCUCUGCGCGGUUCUGUGUGCGCAUAGCGAUGCGUGGGAUCCCGGACCAUGCAUGGAGUCGCUCGUCUGUGGUCACCCUGCUCGCCCUGUUCUGCCUCAUCGAGGAGAUCGCGCCCGAGACGCGCUCUGGGCGCGAGAUGUCUGUGUUCCGCCUCACCGCUUGGAUGGCCAACCCGGAUGCCAACCCGGCGUGCGAUGGUGUGCCGCUCGAUGCAGACCUAGAUCGUGUCUCCCGUUUCGCGUUGUCGCUGAUCCGCUUCCCGGUGGCCAUCCAUGUCGAGGAGACUGAAGAUUUCUGGAUGUCGGGCCCUCCGCCACCCCCUCCCCCGCCCCCGACGCCGACGCCGGCAACGGCCCUGAUCGUGAUGCCCCCCGGUCCCGAGCCAUGGCCUCACCGCCAUGCGUUUCCUCCUGGGCGUCCAAGCCGGCGCUUUCCAGGGCGCUCGCCGCACCGUGCCCCUUGCGGCAGGCAUGGUCGUUGCCGGCAGCUUCCUCAUCGUGGUUGGUGUGGGGUCUUGGGCCCGCAUCCGUCAGCUACACCGGCUGCGCCUCGGAUCCCUGCUACCUUGCACCUGACGCCUGCCGUCAGCGUCCCUGCUUUGCCUCUUCAAAGUGAUGGGCCCGCGUCUUCACCUGCGUUGCUGACCGUUCAAGACACCACGCCUCGGGCGAACGGCCGAUUGACCAGGUUUAAACCUCGUCGUCCACGGUCCUUCCUUCGGCUCCACCAACCCUGCUGCUCCUGGCCCCAACCGCGUCUGGGACGCGUGUCAGUUCUGCAUUGGCCGCCAGGGCUCUGGAACCUUCCCCGCCGCUGGCCUCAUCCGCUGAGGCUCCGCUUUCCCGCCCAGAUAGCACGGGCCCGACCUGCGAAGCCCCUGUUCAUGCCAGGCUUGUGGUGCCGGACCAAAUUCCCACACCAGGCUCGGCUCCACCCCCUAGGCUUUUGGCACCUUGUGUGUCUGUCGCCUCGGACCCGGAUCCCCCCGCUGGUUCCCCUGUGUGCAUGGAGCACGAGGAGGAUAUGCCUCUGCCAGACGUGCAUGCCCUGGAUCUCACGCCCCUGGUGGUUGGCGCCAUCCAAUCAGAGGGCCAGGCCCUGUCUCCUCCUGAUCUGCAUGGCCAGGUCACCUCAGACGAUCCCGAGGCCCAGAAUUCGCCACGUCUCCCCAAUGCAUGCAGGGCCAUGCAGCCGUUCCAGGGGCACGUUCUACCGAUCCAAGGUUUCCUGA